GACCCGAAGUGCGGGGCUGCGUGGGUGGCGCACCCGCUGGGCGGGAAAGCUGGCGGCUCUCCCGCACCCGGCCUUGGGAUCCCGUAGGCCAGCGCCCCCGACUCUCCCGGCACCCCGUGUUCCUGAUUAGAUCGCAGGCCCUGUUUUUUGGAAUGGCAGGAUAGCAGCGAGGAAAGAGAGAUGGCAGGAGGCUACUGCGAAACCCUGCGAGGGUCGCCCAGGGCGGCUGCGAGAGAGUUUAAGGAGCGACCACGCGGGCCCUGCGCCGGCGGCCCGCAUGCGACCCGGCCACAACCCAAGCCACCUAAGCAGCAGCGCGGCCAGGCCUGCCAGGAGCCGCGCACCCAUUGGCGGAGAGUGCGGCCUUCCGGGCCAAUCACAGAGGGCGGUAGCUCAGCUGCCAAUGGGAGUGCGGUGGGCGGGGAGAGGACAAGCGCGUGCGCACUGGGCGCCGCGCGCGACCCAUUCCUCGCCACCUGGAGGUUGCUGCAGGGGAGUCCCCGGGUUCCUCGGGGUCUUCUUUUGAAAUCCGUCCCCGGCCCUACCUCCCGAGGGUCUCGCAAACGUGCUGCCCCUCUCCGGCAGUGCGGGGACCCCCUCACGCCCUGCCAUCCCACGCACCCUGGGCACCCCGAACUUCUAACCAGGACUGGGAGGUGGAAGCCCUGUUUUGCCGCGGAGCUGUCAUUAUUGUAAGAGAAUAAACGCUCACUACAAAAGGGAGACGCAGAAUUUACGAGACGGCCCCCUCGGAGCCCGGUGGGCGACAUCUGGCUGCGACAUUAGGCAAGAGGAGUCCCAUUAUCCAGAGACAAAGGCGGCCCUGGCCCUCGAGGCCGCAACGGCGGGGGUCCCUGUCGGCCCCCUACUCAGGCGGGCGCGAGACAGCGGAGAGUCUCGGCGGCGGAUCGCGUGCUCCCCGGUUCGGGGCGGGCCAGCCCUCACUGCCCGUGGCGUGCUGCCCCCCUCCCCUCCCCUCCCCUCUCCUCCCUCCUCUCUCCCUGCGGGUCCUCUUCCGUCCC